UAGGGAACCUUCGGCAAUGGACGGAAGUCUGACCGAGCAACGCCGCGUGAGUGAAGAAGGUUUUCGGAUCGUAAAGCUCUGUUGUUAGAGAAGAACGUUGGUAGGAGUGGAAAAUCUACCAAGUGACGGUAACUAACCAGAAAGGGACGGCUAACUACGUGCCAGCAGCCGCGGUAAUACGUAGGUCCCGAGCGUUGUCCGGAUUUAUUGGGCGUAAAGCGAGCGCGGGCGGUUCUUUAAGUCUGAAGUUAAAGGCAGUGGCUUAACCAUUGUACGCUUUGGAAACUGGAGGACUUGAGUGCAGAAGGGGAGAGUGGAAUUCCAUGUGUAGCGGUGAAAUGCGUAGAUAUAUGGAGGAACACCGGUGGCGAAAGCGGCUCUCUGGUCUGUAACUGACGCUGAGGCUCGAAAGCGUGGGGAGCAAACAGGAUUAGAUACCCUGGUAGUCCACGCCGUAAACGAUGAGUGCUAGGUGUUAGGCCCUUUCCGGGGCUUAGUGCCGCAGCUAACGCAUUAAGCACUCCGCCUGGGGAGUACGACCGCAAGGUUG
rnacentral:rRNA from 1 species